UUCAUGCCAUACGUAGUAAGUUUGCAGAUGACACUAAAGUGGGUGGUAUUGUAUAUAGCAAAGACGGUUGUCAAAAAUUGUAGCAAGAUCUUGAUCUGUUGGGCAAGA